rnacentral:rRNA from 1 species
UACGUAGGGCGCAAGCGUUGUCCGGAAUUAUUGGGCGUAAAGAGCUCGUAGGCGGCUUGUCACGUCUGCUGUGAAAUCCCGGGGCUCAACCCCGGGCGUGCAGUGGAUACGGGCUGGCUAGAGGCAGGCAGGGGAGAACGGAAUUCCCGGUGUAGCGGUGAAAUGCGCAGAUAUCGGGAGGAACACCGGUGGCGAAGGCGGGUCUCUGGGCCGAUACUGACGCUGAGGAGCGAAAGCGUGGGGAGCGAACAGG